GGGGUCGACUGGUUUUGACAGCAAGUCGAAUUGAGGAGUAAGCACGUCGAGAAUCGGAAUCAAUUCUCGUUAAUCCCAAGGUUCCAACACUUUUACACGGCGAAAAUAACUACGCUCUAGCUGCAUAAUCUGAAUUAUAGUAAGAUUGCGCCACGUCCCUACCAGGUAGGGAGGCUGGAUUCUCCCGGAAAGCCUUGGUUUAUGGCGGUCCAUCAGGGGGAACCGUAAAAAUAGACCUAUAACCGGUAAGGCUUCGAGGCUGGUUAGACACUAAAGAAGCUAAGUGUGUUGUGGCCGUUCCCGGCCUUGCAUCACAUCGAAAAUCCAAUCGGGAAAUAAACGUGUAGAAAGCUUUUUAGUUGCUUGUUUGGACCCGGGUUCGAUUCCCGGCGAUUCCACCA
rnacentral:tmRNA from 1 species